rnacentral:tRNA from 1 species
GCGGGCUUAGCUCAGUUGGUAGAGCAUCAGAUUGUGGCUCUGAGGGUCGUGGGUUCGAGCCCCAUAGCUCGCCCA